ACUACUGUAAUCUAGCUACUCGGAAGUUCGGUCGGUGGGCCAAUUUCAGGAUGGGAGUGUUUGGUAGUCGGUAUUUUAUAGCAAUCACGUUUCCGCGCUGAGCUCGGCAUCAAUAUGGUGCAUGUAAAGGAAAUCAUCAGGGCGGUUUCCUAAGGGAUGUGUGUCGAUACAGCCUAGUGUAGAAACGCACCACGCAAUAGACCACGUGUCGAACAUUAGUGGGAUCGCGCCUGUGAAAAGUCGUCAGCUGCCAGCUUGUUUGAUACAACUAAAACCGGACAUU
rnacentral:SRP_RNA from 1 species